rnacentral:rRNA from 1 species
UACGAAGGGGGCGAGCGUUGUUCGGAAUUACUGGGCGUAAAGGGCUCGUAGGCGGCCAACUAAGUCAUACGUGAAAUCCCUCGGCUUAACCGGGGAACUGCGUCUGAUACUGGAUGGCUUGAGUUCGGGAGAGGGAUGCGGAAUUCCAGGUGUAGCGGUGAAAUGCGUAGAUAUCUGGAGGAACACCGGUGGCGAAGGCGGCAUCCUGGACCGAUACUGACGCUGAGGAGCGAAAGCCAGGGGAGCAAACGGG